AUUACUAGAGCAAAGGAUAGACAGCGCCCGCGGAGCUCGCUCCCGGGGCUACCCUACUCCCGUAGGGUUUAGAGUCGUCGGGCCUCUCGGAGAAGCUCGGUCCUGAACUCCACCCUUGAAUAAACUACCUUUGUUGCUUUGGCGGGCCGCCUCGUGCCAGCGGCUUCGGCUGUUGAGUGCCCGCCAGAGGACCCCAACUCUUGUUUUUAGUGAUGUCUGAGUACUAUAUAAUAGUUAAAACUUUCAACAACGGAUCUCUUGGUUCUGGCAUCGAUGAAGAACGCAGCGAAAUGCGAUAAGUAAUGUGAAUUGCAGAAUUCAGUGAAUCAUCGAAUCUUUGAACGCACAUUGCGCCCUCUGGUAUUCCGGGGGGCAUGCCUGUUCGAGCGUCAUUAUAACCACUCAAGCUCUCGCUUGGUAUUGGGGUUCGCGGUUUCGCGGCCCCUAAAAUCAGUGGCGGUGCCUGUCGGCUCUACGCGUAGUAAUACUCCUCGCGAUUGAGUCCGGUAGGUCUACUUGCCAGCAACCCCUAAUUUUUUUUAAGGUUGACCUCGGAUCAGGUAGGGAUACCCGCUGAACUUAAGCAUAUCAAUAAGCGGAGGAAAAGAAACCAACAGGGAUUACCUCAGUAACGGCGAGUGAAGCGGUAACAGCUCAAAUUUGAAAGCUGGCUCUUUUAGGGUCCGCGUUGUAAUUUGUAGAGAUGCUUCGGGUGUGGCCCCGGUCUAAGUU
rnacentral:rRNA from 1 species